rnacentral:sRNA from 1 species
ACUGCAGCAUAGCAAACAAGGAAAGGAUAGCUGUUGUUGAGAGGAGAGAGAGCAGUAGCCAGACCACAGAUGAACAAGGAAGUGUUGUAGAGCAUCAGGCGGUUCACCCACGGUUUGUCCGCCAUCCAACCGAACACCACCCGACCAAUCGUGUUGGCUAUCCCAAUAACAGAUAUCAGGGGAGAGGCCAAGGAAACGAAACAGGCACCAGUCCUGGUCGUCCGGCACAACGUCGGGGAGGGAGGUUAUGCUGGCCACGUAAAGGUUUGGGUUAGAUCGAUAUUGGGGAAUAUUGAUGAGACUUCCGCUGUAGAAGAUGUCCUUUCUAUACAUGGGACCAGUUACUGGCGCUUGGUGUGAGCGAGUGGAUGUUUGGCGAUGAAAGGACUGCUUGGAUGGUGACUGUGAUAAUGAAUUGGCAGUGAUAUUGUUGAUGGCCCCUUCACUUCUGAACAGAAUGUUAGUUCCAUUUUCAACUUUUAAACUCUGUAUGUGUUUAUUUGGAAUGGCCAAAGUGUCUUUGGUUCCUGUUUUCUGAAUGUCAGGAAGAUCUUGCUGUUGAACACCAUUAGAUUCUGCGGAUUUCAUUAGUUUUUCUUUCUCCGACUUUUCAGACUUUUUCGCAUCAUAUUCUGUAUCUGCUCUUUCAUGUUUUACAACCAAAGGUCUGAAUAAGGCCCCACAUAAAAUGCAAUUCAAGAUAAUUCCUGCUUCUAUCAAGACAGCACCCUUCCACGUAUAUUCAUCAACAAGUAGUUUUGAAACUGGAGCAAAGAUAAAUGUCCCUAUGCCUGAUCCACACACUGCAAUUCCUGUUGCAAAGGACCUUUUCUUGUCAAAAUAAUGGGAUACACUAACAAUGGCCGGAAGAUACAUCAAUCCAAAUCCUAAACCUGUGUGUUAAAAUGAAUACAUGUACAUAUUAAUAGAUUCAUUUCAAUUACUACAUGAAACUAAUUACCAUAAGAUUAUUUCCAAAUCUGCCAUACAAAACAGUUUUAAUGUAAAAGUAUUAAUUAUAAAAUCAGAUGCUUUUCAUUAUUUGUUCUUGCAAGUAUUAGGAUUGCUACUUUGAAAAAAAAAUUCAAUACAUGUAUUAAUAAAAAAAAUCAGCAUC